AGUUAGUCUAAAGUUGCAGAGAAGCUUAGACGUACACAUUGAAGCUGUGAAAAUAUUUAUCGUCCGAAUCGAGAUUUGUUGCAAAAAACAAUUACAAGUCAUGGAAAAACAUUCAGCAAUGGAUAUUCCAAGAAAUACUGAUGCCAGCAGGCCAACACAAAAGCAUAAAAAAACUCGUAAUAACAAACAAACCAAAGAGGUUGUGAGAAAACUCAAGUGUGAAAAGAAGAAGCAGAAGAAAAGACUGAGACUCCAGGAAACACUUGAGUCUCCAGAGCCUGCACCUACACAGACAUCUACCAGCACCCAGGACAACACCCCAGUGAGAGGACUGAAGAGAAAACGACAGGAAGACAAACAGGAAGAAGAAAUCAUUGAGCCAAAGAAGAGAAGGGUUUGUCUAAAAGCCCAUCAAAGCAGCAAAACCUUUUCUGAUCACCAAACCAGAUCAGUUAAGAGAAAGGCCAAGCCGGAACCGAAGAAAAAAAAUAAAAAAGUCAAACACUGUAAACCAACCGAGUCUCCAGAAACUGACAUCAGUCAGGACAACACCCCAGUGAGAGGACUAAAGAGGAAACGACUGGAAGACGAGGAGGAAGAAGAAAUCCUUGAGCCAAAGAAGAGGAAAACUGGUCUAAAAGCUCAUCAAAGCAGCAAAACCAUUUUUGAUGACCAAACCAGAUCAGUUGAGAGAAAGCCCAAACCGGAACCGAAGAAAAAAAAUAAAAAAGUCAAACACUGUAAACCAACCGAGUCUCCAGAAACUGACAUCAGUCAGAAGAACACCCCAGUGAGAGGACUAAAGAGGAAACGACUGGAAGACGAGGAGGAAGAAGCAACAGAGGAAUCAAAGAUAAUGAAGCUGUCUUUUAAGAGUUUCCACGAAUUGAGGGAUUUAUACAAUAAAAUGGGAAGUAAGUUCAAGUGAAUGAUAUUGGUUUAACACAAAAUUCUAUUUUUUUAAAUACAUCUGUCACUUUUACAAUAUCAUUCAGUUGUUUAUUUCAUGAAUACACUUAUUUGUUCGUUUUUGUUCACUUUAAAAAAUUAAAAUUAAUUCUUGAAACUUUGUGCUGCUUAAUGUGCUUGAAUGUGACCAUCAAACUGAUGUGUUUUGGUGUUUUGGUUUUGUCAUCAGCAAACAAAACAAGUGGACCGGAAAAGACCGUUUUAAAUAGUUCAGAAAAUGAAAACGAAUCAAACCAAGAAAUCCCAGAAAACACAAACAAAAUGACGGAGAGAGACAACGUGAUCGACCAAAAAGGUUAGAUGAUUUCAUAUACAUUUUCUUUUGAUUAUAUAGUUGAUUUGUGUAUAAAAUUUUCAGAAACAAAUGAACUAAUAUUACAAUUCUGUUUGCUUUUU
rnacentral:lncRNA from 1 species